rnacentral:tRNA from 1 species
GGAUUGUGGCUCAGUGGUACAGCACUUGCCUAGCAUGUGUGAGGCCCUGGGUUUGAUCCUCAGCACCA